rnacentral:lncRNA from 1 species
AUAUAUAUAUCGGUGCCUAGGGCUGUGGCCCUUCUUUUGACAUUCAACCAAGGAUGCAGGAGGACGAGGACAUACAACAACAAUAUAUAGCAAUAUCAAUGAAAUAUUGUACGCAACGCAAGGACCACGCCUACCCUUUAUAUAAAGGAUCAAGGAUAGGUGGACUGCCCAUCCCCGAUCUGCAACCACAACGCGGCCCUGUCGAGGCCAAGUUGGAUCAUGGAGAGGAAGAGCAGCGCUGCGCUGUUGGCGGUCGCUUGGGUCUUUCUACUCCUGGCGGCCGAUGCCGGAGGCGGGAUCAUUCUCGCUGUUGAUGCGGGUAGUGUGAAUCCGCUAGACGCAGGCGGGCCGGCCUACUGCUCGCACACCUGCGCUGCUGGAGGCCCCUACAUCCAGACCAGAGGCGGUAAAUGUAUAUACCAGAACCGAGAAUGUCCCGGCUAGCUGCUUCUCGUGUGGGCGGUGGCCAUGAUGCAUGCACGCUCAUUUAUUUGUUUGUUGUGUAAGUAUCCUUGUGUAUGUAUGCACGGGUAUAUCUCACCACUAUGUACCUGCCCUGCAUGUUAUUUUUGCAUUUUAUCAAAAAUGUUAUUUUUUGCUUGAAAAUUUAUUUGUUGCAUCUAUAUGUCCUGAUGGUAAAGAUAUGUUUCUUUUAUAAUCUUUUAAAGUAGCAAAUCAACCUGUGGUUGGAUGGUUGGAAGGACUGUGCUAUCCCAGCCUAUCAGGUUCAAAUCCUGGUGCUUGUAUUAUUUCUGAAUUUAUUACAAGACUUCCGGCGAUAUGUUUUCAGUGAAUCUGAAGAUAAUAUGCCGGCUCUGUCUCUCGGAGGUGUUUAUAUUGAUCUUGUC